AAAUGAUGAUGUAUAUUUAUAUUUUAACAUUGCAUCAGUUGACUGGGAAUUAAACCCAAGUUGCCUGCGUGGGAGCCAUCAAUAUUAAACUGAUUUUUAGAAUGAGGCAAAGAGUUAGGGGCUUGCUCCACCUUUACCAUGGGUUGUCCUGGUAUUACAGUACUUCCAGGAUUCAGCCCUUCUAAA
rfam:Octopus bimaculoides Scaffold18963_contig_77, whole genome shotgun sequence.